rnacentral:rRNA from 1 species
UACGAAGGGGGCUAGCGUUGCUCGGAAUCACUGGGCGUAAAGGGUGCGUAGGCGGGUCUUUAAGUCAGAGGUGAAAUCCUGGAGCUCAACUCCAGAACUGCCUUUGAUACUGAGGAUCUUGAGUUCGGGAGAGGUGAGUGGAACUGCGAGUGCAGAGGUGAAAUUCGUAGAUAUUCGCAAGAACACCAGUGGCGAAGGCGGCUCACUGGCCCGAUACUGACGCUGAGGCACGAAAGCGUGGGGAGCAAACAGG